rnacentral:rRNA from 1 species
GAGUUUGAUCUUGGCUCAGAACGAACGUUGGCGGCAUGGAUUAGGCAUGCAAGUCGAACGAAUCCCGGGGUAGCAAUACCUCGGGGGAAGUGGCGAAAGGGGCAGUAAUACCUGGAUAACCUACCCUGGGGUUGGGCAUAGCCGUUCUAACGAGCGGGUAAUUCCCAGCGAGUCGGCGAGUUGGCAUCAAUUUGCCGGGAAAGAAUUUCGCCUCGGGAGGGGUCCAGGAGCUAUCAGCUAGUUGGCGGGGUAACGGCCCACCAAGGCGUAGACGGCUAGCGGGUGUGAGAGCACGACCCGCGCCACUGGCACUGAGACACUGGCCAGACACCUACGGGUGGCUGCAGUCGAGGAUCUUCGUCAAUGGGCGCAAGCCUGAACGAGCGAUGCCGCGUGAGCGAUGAAGGCCUUCGGUUGUAAG